AUUGAACGCUGGCGGCAUGCUUUACACAUGCAAGUCGAACGGCAGCGCGGGCUUCGGCCUGGCGGCGAGUGGCGAACGGGUGAGUAAUAUAUCGGAACGUACCCAGAAGUGGGGGAUAACGUAGCGAAAGUUACGCUAAUACCGCAUACGAUCUACGGAUGAAAGUAGGGGACCGCAAGGCCUUAUGCUUUUGGAGCGGCCGAUAUCUGAUUAGCUAGUUGGUGAGGUAAUGGCUCACCAAGGCGACGAUCAGUAGCUGGUCUGAGAGGACGACCAGCCACACUGGAACUGAGACACGGUCCAGACUCCUACGGGAGGCAGCAGUGGGGAAUUUUGGACAAUGGGGGCAACCCUGAUCCAGCAAUGCCGCGUGAGUGAAGAAGGCCUUCGGGUUGUAAAGCUCUUUUGUCAGGGAAGAAACGGCUGUGGCUAAUAUCCACGGCUAAUGACGGUACCUGAAGAAUAAGCACCGGCUAACUACGUGCCAGCAGCCGCGGUAAUACGUAGGGUGCAAGCGUUAAUCGGAAUUACUGGGCGUAAAGCGUGCGCAGGCGGUUUCGUAAGUCUGAUGUGAAAUCCCCGGGCUUAACCUGGGAAUUGCAUUGGAGACUGCGAGGCUAGAAUCUGGCAGAGGGGGGUAGAAUUCCACGUGUAGCAGUGAAAUGCGUAGAGAUGUGGAGGAACACCGAUGGCGAAGGCAGCCCCCUGGGUCAAGAUUGACGCUCAUGCACGAAAGCGUGGGGAGCAAACAGGAUUAGAUACCCUGGUAGUCCACGCCCUAAACGAUGUCUACUAGUUGUCGGGUUUUAAUUAACUUGGUAACGCAGCUAACGCGUGAAGUAGACCGCCUGGGGAGUACGGUCGCAAGAUUAAAACUCAAAGGAAUUGACGGGGACCCGCACAAGCGGUGGAUGAUGUGGAUUAAUUCGAUGCAACGCGAAAAACCUUACCUACCCUUGACAUGUCAGGAAGUCCGGAGAGAUCUGGAUGUGCCCGAAAGGGAACCUGAACACAGGUGCUGCAUGGCUGUCGUCAGCUCGUGUCGUGAGAUGUUGGGUUAAGUCCCGCAACGAGCGCAACCCUUGUCAUUAGUUGCUACGCAAGAGCACUCUAAUGAGACUGCCGGUGACAAACCGGAGGAAGGUGGGGAUGACGUCAAGUCCUCAUGGCCCUUAUGGGUAGGGCUUCACACGUCAUACAAUGGUACAUACAGAGGGCCGCCAACCCGCGAGGGGGAGCUAAUCCCAGAAAGUGUAUCGUAGUCCGGAUCGUAGUCUGCAACUCGACUACGUGAAGUUGGAAUCGAUAGUAAUCUGCGGAUCAGCAUGCCGCGGUGAAUACGUUCCCGGGUCUUGUA
rnacentral:rRNA from 1 species